UUGCCCUUGAUUAAUAGCAAUACAUGUGACUAAUUAUUGUCUUUAAUAUUGGGGUCAAAAGUAGUCUUUAAUCAUACAGUAGCUACAAAAUAUUACAUCAAUGGCUGAACACAGUGCUCUUUGUCUUCUGUUAUUUUUUCUUGUGUAUAACAGAGAAAUGCUGAAUUCCAGCGCAUAACAACAAUCCCACUUAAAACAACCUUCAUGGUGCAGUUGGACAGCCAUUUACCCCUGCUGGGGACGUGUUUCUGGCCAGAAACUAGCCACACAUCUGGCGAUCUUGCAAGAGGUCCCUGAGUCCCGGCUAAAGAAUAAAGGUGACCAGGCUGCUCUCUGUCUCGGACCCUUCCAUGUAUGCACAUGGAAGGGCAGGGAAGUGCUCUCCCUGGAGGUGCCUUAUGGCUUUCCACGCGACAAGUGAUGUCAAUCCUAAAAGGGCAGCAGUCCUUAAGGCACUUUGGAGCUACCUUGGCGAGGAUGUUGGACAUCUCAUCUGGAGUAUAAGGACAUGGAGAUGACAUCCAGAGAGACCUGCAGAAAUCCACCAUGUGCAUAUAUGUCAUCAACAAGGAGCGUGGAGAAAUUGGAGCUCACGAUGAUAUUGGCAUUAACGUUGAAGGAGUAAUCAUUCUGGACAACAUUGGAUCUGUAGCCCAAGCAUGUGCAAUGAUGCUGGGAGUCAUCUAUGUACUGAACAUGGCUUACCCCAAAGAGCUGAACUACUCCUAUGAGUUAAUUCAGAAAGUGCUCUUGCAAAUGGAUGGUGAAAGGCUUUCCCCCAAAGUCCUUGGACUAAAGAACAAACUCAUUGCUGGACUGUAGGCUUUCUUCCGCCACUCUUAAACCUUGCUAAGCUGCAUUGUUAUUUCUGGUUUGGGAGAUGAUAGAACACAUUUAGUAUGAUGUGAAAUGCAGCCCAGAAGGUAUCUAGAACUGAAAAACAAAGUGAAUGGUGGACUGUAAUAUUCACACAGCCACUGGUGUGAACAUUUAAAAGUGAACAAUGGAUUUUGUGGAAUAUUGCAAAAUUGCAAUCUUGGAA